AGAACAGUAUCCACCACACAACAAGAAACAAAGACAAAGCACUACAUUAGGAUCAUACUCUUCAAAAUCAGCCAAAUUGACUACUACACCCAUGAAAAAAGCAACACUGUCAAGUGUUCCAAAACAUAACAAAACAAGAGAAAAAGCUAUAACGGAAAAAUGCAGAGCCCUUCAAAGACGGGCUAUACAAACUUCGAUAAACAAAAGUGCAGUUGGAUAUUUAUUGGAUAUCUGAUCCUCAUCUCACAAUCAAUUCAGCCAAACUCCUUUCCAUCAUUUAAGAUGUUCCAUUAUAUCUUUAGGCACCACUUCUCCAGGACAAUGCCCAAACACUGAACCCAUGUGCACACGAACACAGAUCGAAGAAAAGGCUAAAUACUCUGACAGUUUCCAACAGACAUACAGAGCAAAGGAAACAACUACAAGUGCCAAAUACUACAUAAUCCAGAUGCCCACAAAGAUAGACGCAGUUACUGAGGACCGAUUGAGUGUCAAUAUGUACCAUUUGAUUCUUUAGUCAUUAGAAGCCUGACAUCUAAUAUGCAUUUUUGUUGUUCCACAACCAUGAAUCUGCCAAGUUCCUCUUUUGAACUCUGGAGUUGCACGCCCUUAGAAAGUGAAAUCUGGCAUCUCCACUUGCAGCACCAUCAACCACAGCUAACUGGUUCACUGACAAUAUAUAGCUUGAUCUAUCUGUGGAGGGAUUUGCUUGAUCUCUGUUCCUAAUUCUUGUUCAAUUCUAUACAAAUUGAAGCGAUCCUCAAAAGUAAUCAGGCUAACAGCCAAACCAAGGUGUCCAAAUCUCCCUGAUCGUCCAACCCUGUGCAAAUACGUUUCUGAGUUCUUAGGGAAAUCAAAAUUGAUAACAACGUUAACUGCUUGAAUAUCUAUUCCUCUAGUAAACAAAUCAGUACAAACAAGGUUCCUG
rnacentral:misc_RNA from 1 species